GUUCAGUGAUGUCUUGUACAAAUGUCUGACCUGAACUUAAAUGUGGAGCCUGUUAUUACUGAGGAA